CCACAGAAUACUUUUUAACUUAAUGUUUAUUUUUGUCUAGAUUACAUCAAUACAAUGUUUUUAUAAUUGUUUUCUGACAUCUCGUUAUUCAUCCUUUUCUGACAUACCUCUCCUCCAAAAAAGGGCAGUCAUUCUCCAUAGGGUCCCAAGAUCCUAUUUCUAGAGCUUGAAGGAACUUAAGAGGUUAUCACAUCCAACCCCCUCAUUUUCCUGAUGAGGUAAGUCAGGCUUAGGGUGAUUAAAUUGCUUACCCAAGGUC
rnacentral:lncRNA from 1 species